rnacentral:rRNA from 1 species
GAGGAGCUUGCUCUUCUUGGAUGAGUUGCGAACGGGUGAGUAACGCGUAGGUAACCUGCCUUGUAGCGGGGGAUAACUAUUGGAAACGAUAGCUAAUACCGCAUAACAAUGGAUGACACAUGUCAUUUAUUUGAAAGGGGCAAUUGCUCCACUACAAGAUGGACCUGCGUUGUAUUAGCUAGUAGGUGAGGUAAUGGCUCACCUAGGCGACGAUACAUAGCCGACCUGAGAGGGUGAUCGGCCACACUGGGACUGAGACACGGCCCAGACUCCUACGGGAGGCAGCAGUAGGGAAUCUUCGGCAAUGGGGGCAACCCUGACCGAGCAACGCCGCGUGAGUGAAGAAGGUUUUCGGAUCGUAAAGCUCUGUUGUAAGUCAAGAACGGGUGUGAGAGUGGAAAGUUCACACUGUGACGGUAGCUUACCAGAAAGGGACGGCUAACUACGUGCCAGCAGCCGCGGUAAUACGUAGGUCCCGAGCGUUGUCCGGAUUUAUUGGGCGUAAAGCGAGCGCAGGCGGUUUGAUAAGUCUGAAGUUAAAGGCUGUGGCUCAACCAUAGUUCGCUUUGGAAACUGUCAAACUUGAGUGCAGAAGGGGAGAGUGGAAUUCCAUGUGUAGCGGUGAAAUGCGUAGAUAUAUGGAGGAACACCGGUGGCGAAAGCGGCUCUCUGGUCUGUAACUGACGCUGAGGCUCGAAAGCGUGGGGAGCGAACAGGAUUAGAUACCCUGGUAGUCCACGCCGUAAACGAUGAGUGCUAGGUGUUGGAUCCUUUCCGGGAUUCAGUGCCGCAGCUAACGCAUUAAGCACUCCGCCUGGGGAGUACGACCGCAAGGUUGAAACUCAAAGGAAUUGACGGGGGCCCGCACAAGCGGUGGAGCAUGUGGUUUAAUUCGAAGCAACGCGAAGAACCUUACCAGGUCUUGACAUCCCGAUGCUAUUUCUAGAGAUAGAAAGUUACUUCGGUACAUCGGU